GGGGCUCCCACCGCAUGCCCGGUGGCGUCCUAAGUGCUUUGCGUGUGUGUGUGUUGGCUGAUUUAGUGACCAGGUGGGCCACAAAGGAGCUGACUGCAGAGCAGGGACAGGAAGCCAACGAGCAGAGAGCGCGCAUCGGUGCCCGGAUCUCGGCCGGCAACCAGCGGAGACUGGAGUUGGCCCCACGCUUCCCCAGCCUGCUUGUCCGCCUCCCAUCAAAGGUGGCAGGCUUUGUGAAGGGACUCCGGUGUAGAAGACGCCUUCUUUUGCGUUGGCGAAGUCUGUCCCUUUCUCCGGGAGGGGGGGAGGGGGAUGGGGGGUGGGCAGAGCCUGGCCUUCCAGCCCCGCCCCCUCGUCCUCUCCCCACCCCCCACCCAGGCCCCUGAGGCCGCCCGCACAUGCGCAGUGCUGUGUGCCGACCCCAGGGAGAAGCCAAGGCCACCGAGGGGCCGAGUAAGCGGCCCAGGGUGUCAGCCAGGCGGCUCGAGAUCGGCCCGUGGCCGCUCGGGCCCGCACACCUUUCCCUACACCCGUCCCGGCUCCGCACUCACUUGUAGCCCACGUCACACCAGUUCAGCGUCCUCGAAUGGGCUGCAACAGGAUGCGGUGGGGGCCCGGGUCUCAUCUCUCUUCCUCCCGGAGGGACUGAGGUACAAAAGCCAUGCAUCAGAGCAUCAUCCUUGACCAAACUCUACCGUGUCCCCUCUUGUGUUGAGUACCCCAGCCCAUAGCAGGCGCCGAAUAUAUACUGAAUGACUGGUAAGUAUCCAGCUCACUCCCUGGUCAUGUUGGUGUUAUCGCCCAAAUAUCUUAUGAAUCAGACCACCCUGGUUUAUUUCCACUCUCCCCACCUGGGUCCAGUCACCGUCUCCUUGCACCUGGAUUUUCUCCCACCCCCUCGGUGACUUUCCAGCAUGCACCUUGGCCCCCAUGAGGCCGAGGCUCAGAUCUGAUCAAGCGACCCUCAAACAUGAGUCACCGUUUUCUGUGGCUUCUCACGACUCUUAGGAUGGACCCCAAGCACUUUGCCAAGGCCUGCCUUCAACCUAGUCUCACCCAACUCACUCCUGAGGCCCUCUUCCCCUAGCUUCCCUGCCCUUCUUGCCGCCCUUGAGGAUGCUUUGACUACCCUGUCCCCAGGGGACUUUCUCCGCACUGUGUGCAAGCUUUAUUUAUUUAUUUAUUUAUUUAUUUAUUUAUUUAUUUACAUUUUUAGAGAGAGAGAGUCUGAGAGCAGGGGAGAGGGGGAGAGGGGGAGAGAGAGAAUCUUAAGCAGGCUCCACACUCAGCACGGAACCUGACGUGGGGCUCGAUCCCAUGACCCUGGGAUUGUGACCAGAGCCAAAAUCAAGAGGCGGACACUCAACCAACUGAGUCACCCAGGAGCCCCUGUACAAGUCCUAAAUGGGGAACCUUAAGAAAUUCAGGAACUUUGUACCUUACCUUUAAGAUUACAAAACAUGAGGGCGCCUUUUGUAAAAAGGCAGGAAUAUGUACACAUCGGAUUGCUUACUAAGCAUAUAGUCUUCAGCCAGGUAGUGUGAAGUAUUCCUGUGUUAGAAUUUUAUUUAUUCUGUAUCUUGUCAGCCUAAGAGUGGGACAUGCCCUUGUGAGCAUUUACAAGAGUCUCAAUGGGUAAUUGUCAUAUUACCCCUAAUCCUGAGAACUGUAUUACUAGGGUAUUUUUUAAAUAGGA